UAUGAAAAUUUACUUACGACGAUUAGAAU
rnacentral:sRNA from 1 species